rnacentral:tRNA from 1 species
UGCGGGAUGCCUGGAGAUGGUGCCAGAGCGGUCUCAUAAGCCGUACAAACGUGGGUUCGAGUCCCACUCCCGCAA